CUGCGGCACGUUUCCCGUCGGCGGGAGCGCGGCAGAGCGGCGGCUGCGCCGCGAGCGGCCGCGCCGGGGCCGGAAGUGCGAGGGCCGGGGGGCGACGUGGGCGCGCGCUUACCGGAAGAGCACCUCUGACUUUGAAUAUUGAUUUGGGGAUCCAGAAGUGGCCAGGUUUCUGCCCUGAGGAAUGUGAGACUCUGAAACAUGUUUCCUGCCUGAGUUGUCAGCAGAACAGUCUUUGAACACGCUGCAUUGAAGUUGCCUGGAUAUCCCGUAGACAGAAACACCUUGCUUUUCAUCACAGAGGUUGGACUCAGGCAGCCCCUCAACCUACCCCUAAAGGACUUGCUAUCCCCUCCCCUGCUCACUUCCUACUACACUCAGCAUUCUUGAGUGUGUCUCCAGUAAUGCUCCCCUUCACUCAUUGCCGAAUGCUUUAUACCUGAUGCAGUGAAUGCAGAUGGAGAGCUGGCAAGCCCCCGACAGCUGCCAGCUCCAGAGGAUGGGAGAAGAUUAAGGCAUUGCUGGAGUGACGUCUACAUCUUUCUCAAUGAUGAAGGUUAGGGGUUUCAAGCCUAGCUUCUGACUCAUAACCAAGAAGAAGAAAAAAGGGAAAAUUAGCAUUAGGAAUGUUGCUGAAAUGGCUUGUAUCUGUUUAGUGAUUAAUCUAGGUAGUGUAUUGCUGUCUGUGGCUGGUGUUUUUCCUAGGCGUUUUUAAUGGAAUCUAAUCUUUUAAGAACAUGGGGCACCUGUAUGUAGAGCCUGUAUCUGCAGAUCCCAUGCCAGAAAAGGCAGAUCUUUAAGAAAAACUUUUCCAGAAAGCAAGUUUAAUUCUUGACAUUGCAAUACCAGUGUUUUUUUCUGAACCUAGAUGCCUUAGGACAUUUUACUGAGCGUCUGGAUGGCAGAUCACUGGUCAAAGUGUAGCCUGGCUCUGUGGGGAUUAAAAAUCACUCCUAGUGGGUGUAUGUCUGCAGGCCCUCCUAGGACAUGCAUUUGGUGGGACCAUGUCCCAUCUUCCGUGUUAAAUACUUCUUCCCUGACUACACUAACUGGUAAACUCAGCAGAAUGGCCUGGAAGGUGACCUUGAGCUAAGCUAAUGUCACUUCCAGCGGAUGUCGCCUGUGGAUCAAGGAUGAGGCAAGCAGGGGAGGCUCAGGCUGCUGCUCCUGAGAUAACUGGAAGGAUCAGAGAAGCUGGGUGACUGAUCAGUCUAAGCAAUGGCUUCAGAGCCAGAGCUGUGAUCGUACUCAAAUUAAUUUCAAACAGACACAGUAACAUAAGAAGCAAUUUGCAUAAGACAUCACAUGGAUUCACAUAAAAGUUUGAAUAUUUAAAAAAAAGCAAUAAUGCACAGCUCGGGUGGGUACAUGAAAUCAUUUGUGCAGCGAGCUGUGCAGAGAAACAAUGUGCAAUUACCAGAGAAGAAAACAAAUGACAGCAACCAUUCAGGCAGCUCAGAAGUCAGGAAACACCGGUCCAUUCUUUCAUCCACCCCCUGGACAAAUACUUGGAUUUAUGCUAUCAUUUCACAAACGUGCACUACUUUUCUGUCAGGCAGUUGCCUCUCUGGUACAGAGAAAGGAUGAUGCUCACUGUAUCAUGCUACUACUCACUCCUUCACAUCUGCAUCUUUGGCUUCAUCUUUCUGUGGCUGUGGAACACCUGAUGGGUCAUUUUUUGUGGGCUUUCUACUGCAUUCGUCACUGAGUCUGAGGGAUUCAUCUCUCAGCAUAUGUCACUCCAAGUGGUACUGCUCUUGCCCCUUGGGUGCGAAGACUAGAGGCCUAAAUACUAACUCUGGAAGCCCAAGCGCAGACUCUGACAGCCUGAUCUUUGGUGGUCCUAGCGCUGUGCACGUUCUUUGUGUUUCUGUGGAUAAGAUCACACAGUUCUCAGCUCCUGGAAAAUGAUAACCAGAACAACUAACAUUAAAAAAGGAAGCUGACAAGAAAAGGCAAACACAUCCAUUAAGUGGGAAUCGUCUUUCCCAGGGAACAUCAGGAGGUCUGAGACCUUUCAACCUGCAGAAUGCACUUUGACCACUUGACCUACAUUUCAGAACAAUCCUGCAUUUCUGAUGAAUGGAUGGGAUCUCAAUUUCUGUCCUCACUGGAGCAGUGAUUCUGAACUGCAAGGGAUGAGCCAUGAGCACAUACAAUAGCAUCUUCGUCCCCCUCCCUCCUCACCAUGCUGUGGGAGCAGCACCUGGGUACCUUGGAGCUCCCAGCCCCCACCUCACCUGCCUUCUGUCUUCAUUUACCCAUUUCUUUUUAAGGCCUCUAGCUCUAAAUAUCCACCUUGAUCCCUUCUGACCCUGUGUCCCCUUUCUGCCCAGUCUCUUAAUCCUGGUCACAAUUUCUGGUUCUGCUCACUCACUCUUCACCCUGCCUUUUCCUGUCUUCCCUCUUAUUCUUCCCCCCUCAUCGCUUCAGCAACUCAUAGUUAGGCUUUUUUUUUUUUUUUUUUUUUUUUUUCUCCUCCCUCCACUGUCACCAAAAGCCUGGAAGAGGCAGGAUUACUCUCAUUUCUGUUAUGUCAUCCCAGCCCUCCUCCUUAACAGGGAAAAAUCUCUCUCUCCCUUUACAUUUGCUACAUUCACAAUUAUUGCACCAUAUCUUUUAUCCACAAACAAGCUGGCCAACCCAAGUGGCUGUAAGUAGCCCAGGACAGUCUUUUCAAUCCUCCAUUUUGCACGUAGGCCCUGAUGCCCAGUAGAAGACGAACCUCAUUAUAGAGGAGCAAAUAAUGCCUCUGUACCUCUUACGGUUUUUGCUGUGUGUCUAGCAAACAUGGGGUAAUGCUAAGCUGAGUUUCUGACCUCAUUUGCGCGGUUUAUUCACAUGCAAUAUGGCACACAAGAAAGGAACUAGCAAAGCAGAAAAAGGCAUUGGAAGGAAAACAUUUCAGGCUUAAAUAACUCAUCCUGGUGUGGCCAAAUGGGUCCAAAUCAAUCUAAUGACAGUGGCAAAAUCUUCCACUUUUGGUGUGUCUGACUGUUGCACUGAUGUUUUGGUUAAUGAAUGCAUUCAACUAAACCAGUUUGUGUUUACAGUGCACUAACCUGGCUAGGCUGACUACUCUGCUACUAAUAGAGGACACAGUUCACAGAUUGUCCCUUAGGUUAGGAAGGGCUUAGAAAGUUCCUACUUGCUGGGUCACUUUACCAAGGCUCAGAUGAUGAAUGAGAGGAUCAGAGCGCUUGUCCUGGCAUCCUCCCUUAGGCAACCUAACUGGGAAAUCAACCAUCUCUUCAGCCAGGGCAGGCCAUAAUGCAGUCUUGACCAGUGCAUGCUGUAGACAUUAAAUAAAGUCCCUCUGACAUUCAGAAAA